UACGUAGGCAGCAAGCGUUGUUCGGAGUUACUGGGCGUAAAGAGUGCGUAGGCGGUCCCGUAAGUUUGUUGUGAAAUCUCCCGGCUUAACUGGGAGGGUGCGGCGAAAACUGCGGGGCUGGAGUAUGGGAGAGGUAGGCGGAAUUCCUGGUGUAGCGGUGAAAUGCGUAGAUAUCAGGAGGAACACCGGUGGUGUAGACGGCUUACUGGACCAUGACUGACGCUGAGGCACGAAAGCGUGGGGAGCAAACAGG
rnacentral:rRNA from 1 species